CAAAGUGAACUUCCUCAAAGUCUGUUAUAAAGACUUGAUGUCGUGCCGUCAGCUGCAGCAGAAGAAGAGAGUUCCCCAUCGGAUAUCAAUCAAUACCGACCAUGUUUUGUGUAGCUGUGCUGCUGCUGCUGGCUGCUGGACACUGUGUGAAGUGUGAAACUUUGACGCAGCCAGCCUCUGUGACUGUGCAGCCAGGUCAACCUCUGACCAUCAGCUGCCAGGUCUCUUAUUCUGUCAGCAGCUACUGGACACAUUGGAUCAGACAGCCUGCAGGAAAAGGACUGGAGUGGAUUGGAAGAAGAGCUGGAGGGAGCACAAACUAUAAAGAUUCACUAAAGAACAAGUUCAGUAUCGAAUUAGACUCUUCCAGCAACACAGUGACUCUAAAGGGACAGAACGUGCAGCCUGGAGACACUGCUGUGUAUUACUGUGCCAGUAACACACAAUGAUACAAACCAUCAGCCGACCUGAACAAAAACCCCUCAGUGCCUGAACACUAGUUACAUGAAGCCACCAGAGGAGGAGCCCAAAGACUACUGGUGAUUUCAGACCAGUUCACUGUUACUGUAAAGAGGAAUCAGACAUAAGUCAUUUAAUCAUUUAACAGUAACUAUUUAUAGCACUUUUAAUACCCUGACAUCCCAGUGACUGAAAUGUCAGCAUGUAUAAUUUAAUAG